GCUGAGUGGCCAGAGAGGAUCAGAUAAGAGCAGAGGAGAGAUCUUGACAGCAGAGAGAUGUCAAACCACAGUAUUCCAACCUGUAGAGAAGAGAGACAAAAGAUAAAAAUGAAUUUAUUCGAUGACACAACAAAGCCCACAAGAGAUCUGUGAACUCAGAAUGGAGGAUAAUUCCAGAAACUUUAAAAAAUGAGCACAAUCCAACACCUUGGCCUGGCAAAAUAAUUAUGUGGUCUGUGGAGUCUAAGCAGCAACUGCAGCUGACAGACUUACCCUCGGCCUGGUUUGUCAUGCCUGUCUAUAUACUAUGAAAAUAGAAAAUCUCAUGUAGACAUAGCAGGUCCUGAACUACUUUGCUGUGCCUGAUGCCAUCAAUAGCAACCUCCUAAUGUGGAACCUUAUCAUAUGUAUACAAACACAAUCACUAGCACAACCUUGUUUCAAUUCGAUACAAAUCUGCA
rnacentral:lncRNA from 1 species